rnacentral:lncRNA from 1 species
CCCAGAGAGAUUCUUCACCUCUGCGACAUAGAAUGCAGGAGAGAUUAAAAACCUGCAAAACUAGUAGUCCCUGUAGCACACCCCUUUAAAAUGGUGCCGUUGUGGGAAUGGAGGGUGGGUUAUAAGGAAGCAGGCUUUUUAUUAUAUGAAAAUAUUUGUGUUUGAGAAGGGGGGCCACCAGUGGCCCAACACAAUUCCUGCAAUGAGAAACGAGUUUUCAGGACCUUUGUAGAGCCACCUCCAGUGACUUAUCAUUAAUGUCCUGCCCUGUGAACUUUAUUGAUUUGUUGCACUCGCCAAUCAAAAAUCCAAGCAACAUCUUUGAGAAAAACUAAUAAUCGGAGUCUUCAGGGCAAUGUGCAGCUGUGGUCUGUGUCCAUCAUCACCUGUCUGCUGUGUGGCCAAAGUGACAAGGAGAUGUGCUCUAAGUUGGUUGGUACCCAGGUCGAGACCAUGAGCAUCAAUGUGGAUGCCCAGUGCUAGGGUAUUAACGUUCUUCCUAAGCACAUCGCUAAGACAAG